AAAAUAUUUAAUGCUAAUCCUUAUAUAUGUGUAUGUUUUAUAUUUAUGUAAAAGUAUUUUUUACACUAAGAAUAUUAGCAGGAAUGCACAUUAAUACAAAUCUUUUCUGGGAAGAAAGUAUACCCUUUAAAGUGGCACUAAUAACGGGGCUUAACAGAUUUUCCUAGACCCUAGGAGCCAGGGCCAGACAGACAACUGUUAAAUAGGGAAAUAUUUUUAAACGAUAAAAUAACAGUGUUAAUAUAUUUUAAAGAAGUAUUUCAUUUACAUCUAGGAUAAUUGUUACGGUUGGACUUAGUUUUGACCCUAAUCAUAACUGAACUCACCCACCCCUUUCCUCUUAUUUUCUCUAUUACUAUAUUUUCCAUACUUUCCCAUGUCUAUCUUUUUGCUACUACUUUUACCAACACUAUCUAGUAGUUUUGGUGCCAGGCAUAGCCUGUAUAUGUUGCCAAAUAGUUUUAAAAUGAUUUAACUUACCUCUCUCUGCCUCCACAACAGCCUUCAAAGAGACAGAAGCUUUUUGUCUGAACUAAGUUUUGCAAAGCAGGGCUUAGCUCAUUCGCUGAGAGCGACACUCUCCACCUAUGAGCUAGCCCUGGCUGCAAAGAGGAGGCGAGGAGCGGCACCCAAUGGAUACCAUGUAAAAGGUCAAACCAUUCUACGCCAGUUUGACUACUUACAUUUGGAGAGGGCAGGGUACACUUGGCACCAUAACCACAACAGCACAAUGUAGUAAUUAUGGUGUUUGGUGUAUUACAGUCUCCCUCACGUUUGCCUAACUUUGUGCACUAGAUGGUCAUUGCUGGCCCUGCUUAAUAGAGAAAAUGGCAGUCGGUACUCUUAUUAAACCAUUUUUCCACAGGAAACCAUGGUCUGAACCCUCACAUGAACUAGUAGAACAGAGCUCCUGUUCUUCCAAAAGAAUGAACCUUAAAAUGGAAAGAUAUAACCAGAAGAAUGACCUUAAAAAAACCUACAGUAACAUAUAAACUUUUUUGGUACAUUAAUGUUAAAAAUGUUGACAAUAAUAGAUUAAAAACACACUAGAAAAAGUUGUGAAAUACUUGAAUGACAUUCUAGUACUAAGCUACUUGUUUCUGGAAACCUAUCCCACUGUCAGAGGAGGACUGGCAAUGGGGGCAUAAGUCCCCUGGCCAAUAGUAUUGGUAGUUUGUGUGCUGCUGCCUCACAUCACUAAAUAUGUUUUGUUACUACUGAGUAUUAGUAUAGUUUUAAAUAUUUACUAUAAAACUAAAAGAGGGAGUUGAGUGUGAUGAGAUACUGUGCUAGCGUGGAUUCACAUUUUCCCUCUAAGCUAAAUUAAGUCACCCCUCCUGUGCCAUCUAUUAAGUAUAAUCAAAUCUCGGUGUUUAUGUAGGAUAUUUACUAUACUUGUUUAAUUAUUAUUACGCUUUUUUUUGUUUGUUUCAUUUUCAAUAUUUUUGGUUUAAGGUGUUUUUGAUUUAUAAUGAUUUUUCAUUUUAAUGCACUAAUGACUGUGGAUGGGGAACAAUCACUUCCAAGGUUUUUCAAUGUUAUAUUUACUAUUUAACAAGGUUGAAUUUGUUAGGUGUGAAAAAUGAAAUAUACAAACCCACAACUCGUUAUUCUUUUGAUCUGUAUUGGCUGUCUGGGUGUAGUUUUGCCAAGGCAGGCUUAAAUUCUAAGCAGAUAUGGUGUCCCGUGUAGUGAAUUUGUCAGAACUUGAUGAGAGGCAUAAACUGAAUUUUAUUUUACUGAUUUUAUGAGAAAUUAUAUCUCCACAAUUACUAUUUUAUAAUGGGUGUAAUUUUGUAAAUAACAUGUUUUCUCUGUAAAUCAUUUUGUACUGUUUUGUAAUCAUGUAAACUUUAAUCUUGUGUUUGCAAUAGAAAAAGCAUUGGUUUUUAUUUUCACAUUGAAG